rnacentral:rRNA from 1 species
GACGAACGCUGGCGGCGUGCCUAACACAUGCAAGUCGAACGAGGUCCAAGGGAGCUUGCUCCCUGAAGACCUAGUAGCGAACGGGUGAGUAACACGUGAGAAACCUGCCCUCGAGUGGGGAAUAACCCGGGGAAACCCGGGCUAAUACCGCAUACGCUCCUCUGGUCGCAUGGCCGGAGGAGGAAAGUUUUUCGCUCAAGGAGGGUCUCGCGGCCUAUCAGCUUGUUGGCGGGGUAACGGCCCACCAAGGCUACGACGGGUAGCUGGUUUGAGAGAACGAUCAGCCACACUGGGACUGAGACACGGCCCAGACUCCUACGGGAGGCAGCAGUGGGGAAUCUUGCGCAAUGGGCGAAAGCCUGACGCAGCAACGCCGCGUGCGGGAUGACGGCCUUCGUGGUUGUAAACCGCUUUCAGCAGGGACGAAAAUGACGGUACCUGCAGAAGAAGCUCCGGCUAACUACGUGCCAGCCGCCGCCGUAA